CGCAGCCGCGGUAAUUCCAGCUCCAAUAGCGUAUAUUAAAGUUGUUGCAGUUAAAAAGCUCGUAGUUGAAUUUCGGGGUCAGUAGGUCGGUCGUGCCACAGGUAUGCACUGGUCUCACCGAUUCCUCCUUCCUGAUGAACCGUAAUGCCAUUAAUUUGGUGUUGCGGGGAAACUGGACUGUUACUUUGAAAAAAUUAGAGUGUUUAAAGCAGGCUAACGCUUGAAUACAUUAGCAUGGAAUAAUGAAAUAGGACGUUCGAUUCUAUUUUGUUGGUUUCUAGGAUUGACGUAAUGAUUAAUAGGGAUAGUUGGGGGCAUUAGUAUUCAAUUGUCAGAGGUGAAAUUCUUGGAUUUAUUGAAGACUAACUACUGCGAAAGCAUUUGCCAAGGAUGUUUUCAUUAAUCAAGAACGAAGUUAGGGGAUCGAAGACGAUCAGAUACCGUCGUAGUCUUAACCAUAAACUAUGCCGACUAGGGAUCGGAUGAUGUUAAUUUUUAAUGACUCAUUCGGCGCCUUACG
rnacentral:rRNA from 1 species